GGAGGAGUUGCUUCUGAGUAUGGGAGCCAGGAGUUCUCCAGGAGAGGGAACUGGCUGAAUGCAGCAAGCCAGGAGGAGUACUCAGCCAUGCAGGGUCCCACACUGCAUAGGAGCAGCAGCCUCAAAAAUGGCCGUCGCGCAAUGGAAUAGGCCUGGAAAGGGUCAAAGAUGCCCCAAAUAGGGCUCCUUUAUGAGAUUUCAGUGCCAAGAUGCAAGUUCCAGUGACAGAACCAGCACGAUAUAUUCUGCUACCCAGCGAAAUCUGUUCAGCUGAGCCCUUCCUCUGUUCAGAAUCCUAAUGUGAUGCUCAGGCAACAUGUUCUGGCCACCAGGCAUCGUGCAGCCACGUGUGUGCUUCAUCCCCUGCAGGAAGAUUUAUGGGCUUCUAUUUUAAGGAUUGGAGGGGGGGAAAUUGGCAUCUCUAUGCUGUUCAUUUGGCCAAACUGUAAUAUGCUAAUUAAACCUUCUGACCUGAAUUACAAAAUGCUUAGGGAGGUUCAGUCAGUCUAAGUGCCUGAUUGGCUGAGCAGUUCUAACCUUCUGGGGGUUUUCUCCUUAAAUAAAGCAUCUUGCAUUGUGAAGCAAA